rnacentral:tRNA from 1 species
AAGGAGGUGGCAGAUUGGAUGUGCAUCUAGCUUGAAACUAGAAAAUGGGGGUUCAAAUCCUUCUUUCCUUA